rnacentral:rRNA from 1 species
CUCAUAUUGAAACCUAGUGAUUUAUGAGUUAGUGGCGGACGGGUGAGUAACGCGUGGAAAACCUGCCGUAUACCGGGGGAUAACACUUAGAAAUAGGUGCUAAUACCGCAUAAGCGCACAGCUUCGCAUGAAGCAGUGUGAAAAACUCCGGUGGUAUACGAUGGUUCCGCGUCUGAUUAGCUAGUUGGCGGGGUAACGGCCCACCAAGGCAGCGAUCAGUAGCCGGCCUGAGAGGGUGAACGGCCACAUUGGGACUGAGACACGGCCCAAACUCCUACGGGAGGCAGCAGUGGGGAAUAUUGCACAAUGGGGGAAACCCUGAUGCAGCGACGCCGCGUGAGUGAAGAAGUAUUUCGGUACGUAAAGCUCUAUCAGCAGGGAAGAAAAUGACGGUACCUGACUAAGAAGCCCCGGCUAACUACGUGCCAGCAGCCGCGGUAAUACGUAGGGGGCAAGCGUUAUCCGGAUUUACUGGGUGUAAAGGGAGCGUAGACGGCAGCGCAAGUCUGGAGUGAAAUGCCGGGGCCCAACCCCGGAACUGCUUUGGAAACUGUGCAGCUUGAGUGCGGGAGAGGUAAGUGGAAUUCCUAGUGUAGCGGUGAAAUGCGUAGAUAUUAGGAGGAACACCAGUGGCGAAGGCGGCUUACUGGACCGUAACUGACGUUGAGGCUCGAAAGCGUGGGGAGCAAACAGGAUUAGAUACCCUGGUAGUCCACGCCGUANACGAUGAUUACUAGGUGUCGGGGGACCAANGUCCUCCGGUGCCGGCGCAAACGCAUUAAGUAAUCCACCUGGGGAGUAC